rnacentral:rRNA from 1 species
GACGAACGCUGGCGGCGUGCUUAACACAUGCAAGUCGAGCGGUAAGGCUCCUUCGGGCGUACACGAGCGGCGAACGGGCGAGUAACACGUGAGUAAUCUGCCCUUCACUUCGGGAUAACCACCGGAAACGGUGGCUAAUACCGGAUACGACCAGUCUCUGCAUGGAGUGCUGGUGGAAAGUAUUUUCGGUGGAGGAUGUGCUCGCGGCAUAUCAGCUUGUUGGUGGGGUAACGGCCCACCAAGGUGACGAUCAGUAGCCGACCUGAGAGGGUGAUCGGCCACACUGGGACUGAGACACGGCGCAGACUCCUACGGGAGGCAGCAGUGGGGAAUAUUGGGCAAUGGGCGAAAGCCUGACCCAGCAACGCCGCGUGAGGGAAAAAGGUUUUCGGAUCGUAAACCUCUGUCCUUGGGGACGAAAGAAAUGACGGUACCCAAGGAGGAAGCCCCGGCUAACUACGUGCCAGCCGCCGCGGUAA